UUGGCGGCGUGGAUUAGGCAUGCAAGUCGGACGCCCCUUGGGGGCGUGGCGAAAGGGUGAGUAAGGCGACGGCAACCAACCCCGCGGAGGGGGACAGCCACGGGAAACUGUGGGUAAUCCCCCAUGAUGCCGGGCCGGGACAUCCCGGCCGGGCUAAAGGUGAGACUCCGCCGCGGGACGGGCCGUCGUGGUAUCAGGUUGUUGGUGGGGUAACGGCCCACCAAGCCGUUGACGCCUAGCGGGCGUGCGAGCGUGGCCCGCCACACUGGGACUGAGACACUGU
rnacentral:rRNA from 1 species